CAGGACUUCUUUCAUCCAUUUGGGUCACAUCCAGUUCAGACUUAAAACUGACAGAAGUCACAUUUAAUGUAGAAUAUGAACCAACACACAAAAAAAUCGGAUUUCGCCAAAAAAUCCGAAUUGUGCAUUAAGACCUGCUGUGUG